rnacentral:sRNA from 1 species
UGUCACCCCAGUCUGAAUUUAUUUUAAGAGGUGCCUUGUUACCAUCAGAAGAGAACACGACAGCUGGGAAGAGUUGAUAGGUUUGAAUGUGAACCCUAGCAAAUUGUUAUUCGACCUCCUAAGCGGUGGCGACCCACAGGCUGAGAACCCCUGAUCUACAUCCUGGCCCAAAUCACCUGCACUACGACAAGGGGUGGCAGCGAGAAGGGUAUGAACCAAAGACCAUCGAGACGAUCGAACUCGUCCAGCGGUCAUACCGCACGACCAGUGAGCCAAUUUUUGUUGAACCCUACUUAAAUAUAGCCAAUAGCUUAUGUUGCCUGCUUUCCAGAGAAUCCUGAAUUAAGUUAUUAUAAUGUUUUCAAAAUGUAAUAUUGGAAUAAUUAAAAACAAAUGAAAUACUUUA